ensembl:lncRNA
UGAGCCUUUGUUACCUUUGAGAACCAUGAUAAAACUAUUAAUUUGACAGUAAUGUCUAUUAAAUUUAAGGUUGUUUGGUAUAAAGUUGGCAUAUUUUUAAAAAGACGUGUGGCUCUGUGUAGACAUUUAUCCAUGUAAUAGUAAAGGACAAAAAGGCACAGUUUAGAUCACCUCGCCUGCAUGUCCUGUAGCCGCCUUUCCACCACCUUGUUCCACCCUUCUGUCUGGUUAGGGGAGCACUGAGCGACACUUUUACUGACAAUGUAUUUGACUUUGAAUCUGAGGCUUUUAUCUGUUGUCUAGCCUCACCUAACCAACACAGAUCUGCUUUUUUUGUCAAGUGAGUCAAAAAAAUUGCUUGUCCAAAUAGGUGGUCAUGAAAAGUGAUUCAGCAAAGUAGGAAGGAGGGAGGAACACAUGCACUCAGACAAAAACACACACACACACACACACACACACACACACACACACACACACACACACACACACACACACCAGUGCAUGUCCGGACGUCAACAGCACUCUGAGGGUGUCUCUGUGGCUUCAUAGACAGAGAUGAAUAAAGCAUCACAGCAUACAAUCCAUUUAAUUCUCACACAGACGCACGCAAAUGCACAAAUAUAAAUAGACAAAAUUUCACAUCCGAGCCUUUCUUCCUCUAACCCAUGCAAACACUUACGUCAGCGGGUUAAAUUAUUCCUUGAAAUAUUUCACUGAUGCUGUCCCAUCAAUGGGCAUACAUGCACAUGCACAUGCACACAUGCAUAUGUACAGACAGGAGCUAUUAAUGGUUUUCCUGUUUUGCAGCUGUUACUUUGAGGACUGAACUGUCGAUGAGACAAAACAACUUUUAAUAGAGUAACUUCACUUUACUUUUUAAUUUAGUCAGUUCAAACUAUAAAGUCAAACUAUAGCUUAGUCUCAUACCUCAACUUUAUUUAAAUAAAUAUUUCUUUUCUCUUUUUUCUUUUUUCCAAAACAGGAGAUGUUCACGAACAAGUUGAAUCAGACGUGAUAACAAACUGUUCCUCACUUUGUCUUCACAGUUAAUGGAUGACGGUCAAAAAGAAAGAAAAUGGAAACUAACACGACCAAUGACAGAAAAGAAGAAAAGGUUAGAAAACAAAAGCUCUUGGAUCCAGCAGGGUGGGAGCAGCAGCUGGACGGGCAACACUCAGAUCAAGCAACACUUUUGUUUCCAUCAGCACCGCCUGAAAUUCCAGAAAGUCAAACAGGUUUAAGUAAGACACAUCCACACCCCCUGCACUCAGAACCAGUCAGAGUGGCCUAAUCCUGGGGCAAAGUAAACAGGGUGUGACCUGUGAUUGCUCUAGUAUGAAUGAAACCUUUUCUUAUUGAAUGUGAAGUUAUAAUUUUUGAAGAAACUACAUUUCUCAAAAUCUAAAGUCAUUUCUUUCCACCACAAACUCAGAAAACAAUUAUCUCAGUUUCAAAAAUUAGAAAAUCAAGGCAAACCCUAAAUACAUUUGGCAAGUUUGCACAGGUACAGGUGGAAAACAAAUUGCAAAAACAAGCAAAAAAGGUGGAGCAAGGAAAGGAAAAGAGCCCAGUCAAGUUCCAACAAGCACAGCAGGAAUAAUCUCAGUUAAAAAAAAAACAUCUAUAGCAAUGAACCAACCAGUUUAUGUCAGUAAAUGCAGGGAAAUUAUGCUUCCGCUUAAGUACACCUCCAAGAACCAGUUUUAAACCACCUUUUAGACUACGUCAGCAUAUUUGAGACUCUUUAAAGCUGCAGAAAGAGAGAGACUUAGUCAUGAUUAAACAAUGCAGGUAGAUAAAUUGUAUUCCAGCUCUUAAGUAGCUUCUGGAACAUAAGGCGAAAACACUACCCCGGCCUAAUGUGACCUAAGGUGACAUCGCUGAUUAUGGAGUUUGUUUGUUUGUUUGUUUGUUUUAUUUCUUGUUAGUAAAACUUUGUUAUUUUAAGACAUUCUAUCAGCUAUUGAUAAAUUAAAUCUCAUACUAAUUCUCUGAUUAUCAAACCAAUGUCAGGGGUUGCUGAGUGGAUGUGGAGAAAAGGACUCAAACGCAGGACUCACGGUGAAGAUUCAGGGUGUUUAUUGUGAGGGACGAAUGACGAAAACAGGAGAUGGCUGACUGACUGAAUAACUGAAUGAACGGCUGACUGAUCUGAACUUGGAAGGCAAACAUGGGUCAUAGACAGCAGUGACAACAUCAAUGACGCGACGCCGACCAGGAGACAACUGAGGACUUAAAUACACUGGCUGAACAAUGACUGAUAGGUGACAGAACAAUGAGAUACACACAUGGACAGGAGGCUGAACAUGCUCAUGGGUGGCUCUUCAGCUGGACACACACAUGGCAGAUCCUGUGACCUUGUUACCGCCGUCGGACCGCAGCUAUUGGACUGCGAGGACGUGGCCGUGACGUGACUGUGGACUUUCAAAACAUCUGAUAGACCGUGUGCCUGUGUAUGUGUGUGUGUGUGUGUGUGUGUGUGUGUGUGUGUGUGUGUGUGUGUGUGUGUGUGUGUGUCAUUAGUAAAAAUAAAUAAAAUUAUAUAUAUUUUUGAAAUCCAUUUAAAGACAAUGUGAUGCUACUAUCUUUCUUACAUAAAUUGUGCCAGGGAAAUUACAUUUCCCUGGCACAAUUAAACAUUAAGUCUAUUGUUUUAAUGUUAAGAAAUUGCCUGCAUAUAUUUGUUGAAUAAACAGCCUUAUGUCAGAGCCUGUGUGUUGAUUAUUAUGUAUUAUUAUUUAAUUCAGCUAUGUGAUAUUGGCUGUGUUGAGGUUGCAGGAUGUAAAUCGGUAUUAAAAAAUAUUUUAAACAUGUGUUUUUUAAAGAUUACUUUGUAAAAGAUGAGAAUUUAACACGACAUUUGUAAAUGUAUUUUAUGUCUGCUGUAUGUAAGGGUGAUUGAGAGACAGCUAGUCACUAUACUCUUAAUUUUACCCUGUUUGAAGCUGUUACACAACUUGCUGCUCCUUCUCGUCAGUGUCACGUUGACUUCGAUCUCUUCUCUUCUGUCAAAGAAUACGAGCAGCUGCAUUAUGUCUACAAGCAAACAAUCUUAUUCGUAUACUUUUGUCCCUCUGCUGAGUACAUGACAGCCCUCGUUUUGUCUCGCAGACCUUUUAUUUGUCACAAUUUUACGUUUAAUUUGCGUGUGUGUGAGAGAGAGAGGAAGCAUGGCGGCAGAUGGGUGUGCUGGAGACUCCAAAAGCUGCUGCAAAUAGCCUUUCGGGGUCGGAGUUGGGGAAACAGAGCACAUACUGCCGAGCUUAAAAUCAUGGCAGUCUGUUCUUGUGAAACAUCUGGACUCUGUAAGCAUGACUGGCUCAUUUGUGUGUAUGAAAAUGUAGACAAAACAAUAAAAUAAAGCGACGGAACAUUC